rnacentral:pre_miRNA from 1 species
AGUGGAAUUGUUGGGUCAUAUGGUAACUCUAUGUUUAACAUUUUUAAAAACUGCCAAACUGUUUCCCAAAGUAGCUGCACCAUUUUACAUUCCCAUCAGCAAU